UUGUUCUGUUACUGUCAUUCUGUUUGUGCUGUGGAAGCUUCUGUCACAAAACGAACUCCUCGUAUGUGUAAAUAUACCUGGCAAUAAGGCUCUUUCUGAUUCUGCUUCUAAAAAAAUGUA